CGGUAUGGGAUGGGGUCGCGUCCUAUCAGCUUGAUGGCGGGGUAACGGCCCACCAUGGCUUCGACGGGUAGCCGGCCUGAGAGGGCGACCGGCCACAUUGGGACUGAGAUACGGCCCAGACUCCUACGGGAGGCAGCAGUGGGGAAUAUUGCACAAUGGGCGCAAGCCUGAUGCAGCGACGCCGCGUGCGGGAUGACGGCCUUCGGGUUGUAAACCGCUUUUGACUGGGAGCAAGCCCUUCGGGGUGAGUGUACCUUUCGAAUAAGCACCGGCUAACUACGUGCCAGCAGCCGCGGUAAUACGUAGGGUGCAAGCGUUAUCCGGAAUUAUUGGGCGUAAAGGGCUCGUAGGCGGUUCGUCGCGUCCGGUGUGAAAGUCCAUCGCUUAACGGUGGAUCCGCGCCGGGUACGGGCGGGCUUGAGUGCGGUAGGGGAGACUGGAAUUCCCGGUGUAACGGUGGAAUGUGUAGAUAUCGGGAAGAACACCAAUGGCGAAGGCAGGUCUCUGGGCCGUCACUGACGCUGAGGAGCGAAAGCGUGGGGAGCGAACAGGAUUAGAUACCCUGGUAGUCCACGCCGUAAACGGUGGAUGCUGGAUGUGGGGACCAUUCCACGGUCUCCGUGUCGGAGCCAACGCGUUAAGCAUCCCGCCUGGGGAGUACGGCCGCAAGGCUAAAACUCAAAGAAAUUGACGGGGGCCCGCACAAGCGGCGGAGCAUGCGGAUUAAUUCGAUGCAACGCGAAGAACCUUACCUGGGCUUGACAUGUUCCCGACAGCCGUAGAGAUACGGUUUCCCUUCGGGGCGGGUUCACAGGUGGUGCAUGGUCGUCGUCAGCUCGUGUCGUGAGAUGUUGGGUUAAGUCCCGCAACGAGCGCAACCCUCGCCCUGUGUUGCCAGCACGUCGUGGUGGGAACUCACGGGGGACCGCCGGGGUCAACUCGGAGGAAGGUGGGGAUGACGUCAGAUCAUCAUGCCCCUUACGUCCAGGGCUUCACGCAUGCUACAAUGGCCGGUACAACGGGAUGCGACCUCGUGAGGGGGAGCGGAUCCCUUAAAACCGGUCUCAGUUCGGAUUGGAGUCUGCAACCCGACUCCAUGAAGGCGGAGUCGCUAGUAAUCGCGGAUCAGCAACGCCGCGGUGAAUGCGUUCCCGGGCCUUGUACACACCGCCCGUCAAGUCAUGAAAGUGGGUAGCACCCGAAGCCGGUGGCCCAACCUUUU
rnacentral:rRNA from 1 species